rnacentral:rRNA from 1 species
UGGCACUUUUUAAUCCAUAUCCACCUUGUGUGCAAUGUCGGCCGAUCUUUCUUUUUUGGAAGAUCAGCCAAACAUCAACUUAUUUUUUUAACUCUUUGUCUGAAAAAUAUUAUGAAUAAACAAUUCAAAAUACAACUUUCAACAACGGAUCUCUUGGCUCUCGCAUCGAUGAAGAACGCAGCGAAAUGCGAUACGUAAUGUGAAUUGCAGAAUUCAGUGAAUCAUCGAAUCUUUGAACGCAUAUUGCGCUCUUUGGUAUUCCGAAGAGCAUGCUUGUUUGAGUAUCAGUAAACACCUCAAAACUUUUGAUUUAUUUUGAAAGCUUUGGACUUGAGCGAUCCCAACACCAAUCUUUUAAGAUCGGCGGCGGGUUGCUCGAAAUGCAGGUGCAGCUGGACAUUCUCCUGAGCUAAAAGCAUAUUUACUUAGUCCCGUCAAACGGAUUAUUACUUUUGCUGCAGCUAAUAUAAAGGGAGUCUGACCGUUUUGGCUGACUGAUGCAGGAUUUCACAAGGGUCGGCAACGAUUCUUGUUAAACUCGAUCUCAAAUCAAGUAAGACUACCCGCUGAACUUAAGCAUAUCAAUA